AUACUUACCUGGACGGGGUUUAUGGGUGAUCAAAAAGGCUCAUGACCUAGAUUAAUGGCUCACAUUGCACAUAGUGAAUGUGUUGAUCUACCAUCUCCUUUGGGAGAGUGGACGUCAAAAUUUAUGUUAGAGGGGUAUGCGUUCGCGCGGCCCCUG
rnacentral:snRNA from 1 species